CUCAUCUUCAGCUUUCCUGAACACAGACAUAUUUACUCCUCUGUACCACACACGGUCAAAGCACUGACAAAUCUAAACGUGCAAAGCAGAUUCCUGCAUCCUCACUGCCUUCUGACACUCUAUCACAUAGACCUUACAAAGGUCUUUUUAUCAAUGCUUUUUUAUCAAAAGCAAUGUUGCAGCUGGAGUAGGGAGAAAUAGAAGGCCAAUCUUUAUUAUCUUUCCUUCAACCACCUGGCAGAGCUGAAAGAAGAGACUGGCUUUUGGAAUGCACAGGCUUUUCUGGGAGAAGUUAGGAUUAUUGUUUUAUGGGGAAAGUGCAGCAAAGCAAAGGGAAGCAUCUUCAUGAUAAUCUUCCGUUAGACUGGGAGGAUCAGAUGUCUUUAGCUUGAAUGUCACACUGUGUUGCCUUCCUCCCUUGCAGACAGAGGACCACUUGCACAAGUCACUUAUUGGCAGGUGUGAUAAAAAAAAAAAAGGGUAAAAAUUAUUGCUCAUAAGAAAUACAUUGUGCUGGAAUAGUCAGGAACUGUUCAAACUGUCAUCUUAAACGGGGACACAUGCCCUGCCAUAAUUUAUUUAUGCUACCUAUUAGGUAAUACUAAGUUUUUUCCUUGUUGCCUAUAAAAUACAAAUGUUUCCCAAUUAAACAGGGCUAGGAUUGAGUAAGCACAACACUAUCACCAUCACUCCAUAGCUAAUUUCCUGGCAGGAGCUGUACUGAAAUACAACGCAGGCCAGUAGCGUCUCUUAGCAGGCUGGAUGCAGCACAGGCAAGUAGUGUCCCUUGGACGGCUGGAGGGGAACGCUUUUAGGACACACUGUCUGGGAGGACAGGAAAGAGACUAUGCUGACAGCAAGGGGCUUCUCUCAUGAAGAAAUGGAGAAAAGCUGUUGGGCUCCAAAAUGCCUUUGAAUUCCGGGUGCUUCUGAGCUUUUAUUUGCAAAUCUAGGAGCCAGCUUAAUUUAUGAUUAUGGUUAUGAAUAUUUUAGCUCAUGCCUGGAUUUCAGAUGACCAUUUACAUAAGCCUGACACUUGCCCAUGACUACAUGAGGUCAGCCGACAUGAAUCACCUCCCAACCUGCCGUGAAGGCUGACACAUGGUGAUGGGUGGGGUUCCUGCGCUUGUUUUCCCUCUAGCAGCUGAGGACGUGGAUGGGGGACAGCAAGGUCACACCCUGCACCAUGAAGGCUGGAGAUAACAGAGCCUGUCUUCUAGAGGCAGAGGGAUUUCAAACCAGGCUGCCAGGCCACAAACUGAAAAGCCAGGGUGGUUGGAUGGGUGGACACCUGAGAAGGGUGCAUCUGCCCCAAGGUGCCCAAAAGCCACAGGGGCUAAUGGCAAUCAUCACAGGGAUGGUGUCUUCACGAGCCCAGAUGAAUAGUUGGUUUCUCUAUAUUUAUUGCUCUGUGACCAACUCAGACUUGGGGAUCUGAAUGCAGUGAGACUGAUCCUGCCUCAGAUCUCCUGUUGUGUCCUGGCUUUUUUUAAUUUAGGGUACAAAAGGUGACACCUUCCUGUUUUCAGCCAGCAAGAGCUUGUCAGCAAUGUUGGAAACCACUGUCAGCAGACUUGGAAGGAUGGAGCACCAAAAGAUAUUAAUCUUUCCCCACACUCGGAGCUUGGAGAUGCUUCCAUUGGUAUGAUCGUUCCUUUGGGAAAAGGUGUCAGUUCUUAUUUCUCCUUUAGCCCAGAAUGAAAAACUGCUUUUUCAGUGCUUUCUGGAGCAGCUAUCUUCCCCAGCACCUCCUGCAAUGCCAGGACCAGGUCUGAGCCCUGGCUUGUCCUAACUGCAGACUCAGAAAAACUGUACAUUUUCGCUCCUCACAUGCUACUUUCCUUUCAGAGGGCAGCUAUAAGUUGCAGAGCAUUUGAGUACAUCUUCUGGUCUGCAUGAAUAGGACACAAAAAGGUGGGCUGGCUACUGAUUGAGCUACACUCUCAUCUGUAACAGUAUCUCACAGCGAGUGGUACAGUGCAAGUACUAUUUCUGGAGCAAUGCUAUGUGGACACACUUUUAUGUUUUAUGGAGAAAUAUUCCACCAUCUACAGCUUAAGCUUCAGGUCACCUAUGUGCCUUGGACAAUUGUGUGUGCAUGGAGCCCAUCCAUAGAGCCUAGUUACUGCUGAUAUUGACUGAAACAUUGGUGAGCAUUUCCAUGGUGAGCAUUUAGUCUGUUGUGGGAUUUGUUUGUAGUCCUUUUCUGCUCAAAAGCCUAAGCAAAAACCUGGAAAAUGUUGAGACAAAGGCAAGAAUGGUAACCAAGUGUAUGGAAGACUCUCAAGUCAGAAACAAUAGGGAUGGUUUGGAUUUUUCAGCCAGGUGAAAAGAAAAUUUUCUUUUUUUUUAAAAAAAAAACAAAACAGAAAAAAGAAAAGGGAGGUGGCAGAGGUCUGUAACAUUAUAAAUGAUACAGGGGCGUCGGGCAUGGAUUUGACUUGUCAUGAUUUCUUGCAAUACAGGAACUAGGGGUCAGCAAACGAGGCUGGGAGGACAGGCUGGUUCUUCAUUCAAAAGAACUUCCUGCUGAAGAAGGCUGUGGCUGCAAAAGGCUUGUGGGGGCUUAAGGUGAAGCUGGACAAGCACUUGAAAGUGCAAUACAUAAUGAAGUAGAAAGGCCACAUGAGGCUCAGGAAAUCCCAUCAGCUGAAGAUAUUUAGACAUCUUCCCUGUGCAUGCUUUCCUGACUGCUGUGAAAGGUAGAUCUGCAGGCAAAGGGAUACUCACCAGGCGGCCAAGUCAACAGCUAGCCCAGAAUUACAGCCUUGCCUCUAAGUGAGAGCACGAGUUAGUAACAGCCCUCCCAGCCUUUUAUCAGAAGAUCUGGGAAUCAACAGGACCUGAAUGUCUGGCUGUUUCUGUAAAGAGAUUAAAGAUUUCUUUGCCAGACCCUCCAUAAGACUUUGCCUAAACCACCAGAAACUCAAACCCACCAGCAAACAAGAGAACCCUGAGUUUGCCCUUUACCCUGCAAAUGCACACAUUUUCUUUACCAAUACCAGGAAUCCCAAGGGCUCCCCCCCUACACUAAUAAAGAACAGGCUCACCCUCUCCUGUGCUCCUGAGUCAAAACUGUGUGGGUACCUGGGGUGAAGACCCCUGAAACCCUGAAGCCAGAGCAGGGUUUGCUGGUAGAAGUGAUGCCUUCCUUGCUUUUGGAAUCUUCUCUGCCAUCCAAAGCAACUCUUGCAUCUCCCAUUGGUGGUGUGUGCCCUCAGUCUGGCAAACUUUGGUAAGUGAAAGCCAUUCACUGAGCCGCUGUGACUCCUGGCUUGGACAGAGUGGGAACAAACCAGGCCCUGAAUCUACAAAAUCAUUAUUCCAUUCUCUUUAACGCAGUGGAAGGUUUGCUAAAUAUUAGGAUUUGGAGGGACCCCCGCUGAGCUACUCCAAAAGGAGUUGGUCUUCCAAAAUACAGUGAAUAUCUGCCCUCUGAGAAACAGACUUUGUAAAGUCUCUCCUCUUCAGAUCCAUAAAUGACCUGACAGGCCCAAACUUCUGAGCUACAUUUUCUGCCUCCUUUUUUUCAAGACCAGUUACCAAACACUGAAUUUCCCUUAAAAAUACUACUUCUGUAGGUUGUAACGCCCCCUUUUUACCUUCCCAUGAUGGAAUGCGUCCACACAGCUUUUAAUUUCUUUUUUUUUCUUUCUUUUUUUUUUUUUUAAAGAAAAGCAUAUGUCAAGUAAAAGCAGCUGAAAUUAGAAUAAACCAUGCCACAAAACUACCUCUCUCUCUUCACCUCCUGCUUUGUCAUAGAUUUCAUUGCAUGGGGUGUUUUCACAUUUCAUUGCUUGCUUUCUGUAUCAGAAGGGAGAUGGUUUUUCAUAAAUCAGUAAUUCCAAACAAAUGGUAAAAUGCUUCUCAUCCUGCUCUAGCAAAUACUGGUUUCUUCCACAGUAUGGAAAAAGGCUGGAAGGGAGGAUGAGGUGGAUCAUAAGUCAAAGGCCUGCUGAACAGCCUGUGGGAUCUCCUCUCUGAAUUCAUUAAGCCACACAAAACAAUCCUUUCCUGAAAGCCAUCAGGAGUAAAACUCCACCAGUUCCACUGUGGCCAGGCUUCCCCUUUCGAUUUCCACAGAUAACUCCAUUCCUGUGGCUGGUGAUCUGUGGAUGAACCAAAUAGUGAAGCUGUUCUGAGAAAGCAGAAACAACCUGGCUGAGUCCUGUCAGCAGCUCAACGCAUCUUCCAUGGCCAAUGCCAACUGCUCUGAGCAACGACAGCAAACUUCACAUGUUAACUAACUGUCUCUGGAGGACAGUCUCUUGGACACGGGCUUCUGGGAGCCAUGCAGCUCUCCCAGCUCUCUUCAAUGUUGCCUUCUACCUUGGACUGCCUUUUGAGCUGGGGCAAAGUAUUUGCAAUGCACCUCUGAAGCAGG